AUUGAACGCUGGCGGCAUGCCUUACACAUGCAAGUCGAACGGCAGCACGGGUGCUUGCACCUGGUGGCGAGUGGCGAACGGGUGAGUAAUACAUCGGAACAUGUCCUGUAGUGGGGGAUAGCCCGGCGAAAGCCGGAUUAAUACCGCAUACGAUCCACGGCUGAAAGCGGGGGACCUUCGGGCCUCGCGCUAUAGGGUUGGCCGAUGGCUGAUUAGCUAGUUGGUGGGGUAAAGGCCUACCAAGGCGACGAUCAGUAGCUGGUCUGAGAGGACGACCAGCCACAAUGGGACUGAGAAAAGGCCCAGACUCCUACGGGAGGCAGCAGUGGGGAAUGUUGGACAAUGGGCGAAAGCCUGAUCCAGCAAUGCCGCGUGUGUGAAGAAGGCCUUCGGGUUGUAAAGCACUUUUGUCCGGAAAGAAAUCCUUGACUCUAAUACAGUCGGGGGAUGACGGUACCGGAAGAAUAAGCACCGGCUAACUACGUG
rnacentral:rRNA from 1 species